ACGCCUGGCCGGGAGCCUCCGACGCUCCGGGCCCCUGGGAAGCAGUUGGAGGGUAAACUUCGCGGUCAGUACAUGCGUAAUGCAGGUGAAUGCACUGAAAACCCAAGAAGGGGAGCUCGAGGACGGAAAGCCUUAGCUUACCUAUUUGUGACUACCCAGAAAGCUUUUGACUCUAAGGAGAUAGGAAUGUACAGAUUUUGCUGACGUGACUCUCGCUACUUUAACCGAAGGGAAAACUACGUGGCCCACAUCACAUUUCUAGUACCAUUUAGGUAAUUUCACCUCACAUGCUCUCCCAACUCUCUGCUGAUUGAAAUCCUCUUCCACAAGGCCAGAUUCAAGCUCUUCCUGCUCCUAGGCUCCAAACAUCACUCCUCUGAACAGCCAUUUCCUCGAUUGUCACCCAACAUGUCUUACCAGAUAAACAGGAGCAUGGACAAGAAACAUGACCUCCAUUAGUCAGCCAGUCUUGCUUGUAGCUUUUACCAUGUCUGUGUGUUUGUGGCUCUGUCUGCUGCUGCUGAUAAAUCAUUCUUGCAAGUAAAACGAGUAUUGGCUACCUAGUACCAGGAUGGGCUCCAGUCUGAGUCACAGCCACACCCCCGAGGCCAGAGGAGGUGGACUCUGUUACCAGGAGAAAGUGGAAGAAGUGCUGCACAGAUCCAGGCCCCAUGCCCCAGACCAACCUGCGCCUUCACCCGCCCCUGCUCCCUAACCCGUCCUGUACUCUUUCCCUUCUUCUCCACAUCUCAGGAUGGUGUCACCCAGUAGCUGAAGCCAGAAAUCUGGGAGUCAAGCUGUAUUGUCCCUCUGGCUUACCUCCCCUACGGGAUGAAUCCCCCGGCCCUAGUUCUCUGCCCAUGGACUUCUCACACACCUGUCUGUUCUCUCCAUCCCCCUGCCCCCGCUCUAGGGUAGACCUCAUCAACUGUGUCUGUGCGACCAUGAUAACGGGCCCUCUUUCCCUCAGUUGUGUUUUCCUCUGUUCUAACUUCCACAAUCUGGUGAGAGUAAUUUUUCCAAAAUGAUAGUUGUGUGUCUUCCCUGCUCAAAUUUUUUAAUGGCUCCCCAUCAAGGCCAGCUUCAUAAUUUCCAGGGCCUGGGUCACAAUGUUCAGAAAGCAAGUAAAACAUGCCAUUAAAUAUACUAAAAUAGGACAUUCCCCGACCCUGUGUUUUUUGUAAUCUCUCUUUCAACUUGUCAUGGCAUUUUUAUUUGCCA